rnacentral:lncRNA from 10 species
AUUUCUCAGGCCAGGAGCUUGUUGUGGCAGGAUCUCCCCUAAUGGGCACUCCUGUUUUUCUGGUUGGUGGAGGGAAGUCUCAGGCCUGUGGAGGCAAUGAAGCUUCGGCCAGGCUUGUUGUGGAAAGUCUUUAAGGCAAAGAACUGGGUAAGAAGAGUUUAUUAUACAUUCCUGAGCAGGUCAGUUCUGCUGUGGAGUUUUGGACAUUGUUCCUGGAAGCUGAGCUUGGAUGUGGAUUUCCAUUCUCCGAAUGAUUCUGUGAAAUGGACAAUAUUAUUUUCGUAAACUUCUUUUCUGCUUUACAAACCAGAGGCAACUUCUGUUGCUUACAAUUAAGAAUCUCAACUAACAUAACACAUGGCUUUCAUUCAUGCAUAUUGGACAUGAAAAAAUACUUUGAUUUAUCCUGUCUGGAUGAAGCCAUGGAUACAUUUAACCAGACAAAAGAGGUCUAAGAUGCCAACAUUUCUUCUAGGGUAGGGAGAUCUUUGAACUCCCAGAGAUCCUGCUCAGGCCUUUGAAGGAACCUGCAAUAAGGUGACUGACAUGGGUCAAGAGCCCUCAAAACCUUCUCUCUGAGAUGGAGCAAUAUACUCAAAAUAUCUCAUGUGCCCCAAAUCUGGAGAAUGGAUGAGCCAAGGAGAUAUUAUUUUAGACAUUUGAGCUGUUUCUCAUUAUCUUUCUUUAAAUCAUGCAGGCACUACUCAAAUAAUUAUGCAUUAAUUAUGUUUGAUGUGGUUGCUUCUUCUAUAUAAGAUUGAAAGGCCUAUCUCUGUGUGUGAAGAAGGAGGAGGAUGGAACAGAUGCCCAGCAUCUGAUGAGAUGCUUGGGGAAGAAUGUGGUGAGCUGGAUACUUUUAUUUUCUCAGUAAAAAUUGUGAAAUGUAGCACACAUACAGAAAAGUAUAUAAAAUGUAUAUGACUUUUAAAGGAUUAUAAUGAAGUGAACACACAUAUUACCAUUGUUGUAAUGAGACCAAAGAAUAUUACCAUCUACAAGCCGCAUGUCUGACUCUGGUGGUGUUUCCCCUUCCUCCCCUUUUAGAAGUAACCAUUUUCCUAACUUUUGUGAUAACUAUUAUUUUGCUUUCCUUUAUAGUUUAUCAUCUACAUAUGCAUCCCUAAAAAUAUUGUUCAGUUUUUUCUGCUUUUAAACUUUACAUAAAUAUACUAUAUGUAUCCCUUUGUGUUUUUCCUUUUGCAAAACACUGUGGUAGUGAAAUUUGUUCAUAUUGUUGCAUGUGGUUGCACUUCAUUCAUUUUCACUGUUGUGAGGUAUUUUAUUGUGUGAAUACCUUGUUAUUUACUUAUCCGUUCUACUGUUGAUGAACGUAUGGAUGGUUUCUAAUACUUAAAGUUUGCAAAUAAUGUUGCCGUGAACAUUUCGAGUGCAUCUCCUAUGGUACACAUACAUGUAUUUUUGUACAUAUAAACCUCACAGUGGGGUUGUAGGAUUAUAGGAUAGGGACAUUUUAAAUAUUUCUGAGUAAUACUAUACUAUUUUUCAAAUGGUUGUAUCAAUUUACAGUUUUGGCAGAGAGAAUUCCCACCUUCUCCCCCACACUUGUUGAUGUUUGUCAUCUUGUAGCUUUAUAACAGUAUCUAAGGGCGGUUUUUAGUUGCAUUUUUCCUGAUAAUAUAUAUUAGUGAGGCUUAGUAUAUAUUUUUAUUUAUUAAGUUAUUGGUAGCUAAUUGGUUUCUUAGUAAUUUGAGGUGUCUCUGAAGUACGUUUUAAAGUCUUUUAUCAAUUUCCCUGUUGGGUUUUUAUUGUCUUAGCCCAGGUUGCUCAGAGAGCAAAACUUGCAGCAAAUGAAUGUGCACUAGUUCUUUGUCUUGGAGCAUCCUUGGAGAUGCUGGAGUAUGAGGAGAGAAGAGUGAGGCCUGGGGAGGGUGAAGGCACAUCUAACAUGGGUGAGGGUGUUUUGCUACCACAGUUUACUUUUUCUGCUUAAACAAUAGAUAUUUAGUUAUAAUAACUUAAUAACCAUCUAUAAUAUUUCAUUAGAAGUGUACCAUAUUUUUAUUAAGAUAACACAGUACGGUAAAGGUGUCAAUUUCUACUAAAUCCACUCAAAUUUGACCUUAUUUUCAAGAGAAACCAAUGAGGAUUUUUUUUUUAAAUACAAAAUAUACUUGAGAAAAACAAAAUAUAUAAAAUAUUGAAAAAAAAACAGUCAUGAAGAAAGACUUGCCUACUAUAUAAUAACAUGUUAGCUGGCACAGUGUUAGACAUAUUGUCGAAG